AUUGAACGCUGGCGGCAUGCUUUACACAUGCAAGUCGAACGGUAACAGGCCUUCGGGUGCUGACGAGUGGCGAACGGGUGAGUAAUGCAUCGGAACGUACCCAGAGGUGGGGGAUAACGCAGCGAAAGCUGUGCUAAUACCGCAUGUGAUCUGAGGAUGAAAGCGGGGGACCGCGCAGCAAUGUUUGGCCUCGCGCCUUUGGAGCGGCCGAUGUCGGAUUAGCUAGUUGGUGGGGUAAAGGCCUACCAAGGCGACGAUCCGUAGCUGGUCUGAGAGGACGACCAGCCACACUGGAACUGAGACACGGCCCAGACUCCUACGGGAGGCAGCAGUGGGGAAUUUUGGACAAUGGGCGCAAGCCUGAUCCAGCAAUGCCGCGUGCGGGAAGAAGGCCUUCGGGUUGUAAACCGCUUUUGGCAGGAACGAAACGGUGUCCGCUAAUACCGGGCGCUAAUGACGGUACCUGCAGAAUAAGCACCGGCUAACUACGUG
rnacentral:rRNA from 1 species